rnacentral:rRNA from 1 species
UGCGAACUCCUACGGGAGGCAGCAGUGGGGUAUACUGGACAAUGGGCGAAAGCCUGAUCCAGCAAUGCCGCGUGAGUGAUGAAGGCCUUAGGGUUGUAAAGCUCUUUUAUCCGGGAAGAUAAUGACUGUACCGGGAGAAUAAGCCCCGGCUAACUCCGUGCCAGCAGCCGCGGUAAUACGAGGGGGCUAGCGUUGUUCGGAAUUACUGGGCGUAAAGCGCACGUAGGCGGCUUUGUAAGUCAGAGGUGAAAGCCUGGAGCUCAACUCCAGAACUGCCUUUGAGACUGCAUCGCUUGAAUCCAGGAGAGGUGAGUGGAAUUCCGAGUGUAGAGGUGAAAUUCGUAGAUAUUCGGAAGAACACCAGUGGCGAAGGCGGCUCACUGUACUGGUAUUGACGCUGAGGUGCGAAAGCGUGGGGAGCAAACAGGAUUAGAAACCCGAGUAGUCCAGAUG